ACGACACGUGCUACAAUGGCCGGCACAGCGGGAAGCGAGGGGGCGACCUUGGAGCGGAUCCCUCAAAGCCGGUCUCAGUUCGGAUUGCAGUCUGCAACUCGACUGCAUGAAGUUGGAAUCGCUAGUAAUCGUGGAUCAGCCAAGCCGCGGUGAAUACGUUCCCGGGCCUU
rnacentral:rRNA from 1 species